GGGGGUGCCCGGUUUUGACAGCAUAGAUCUUUGAAAGUGUAAGCAUGUCGUGCGUUGGAUAAUUAGCACGUAAAUCUGAAUAUUCAAACAUCAAAUGGCAAUACUCAGUAUGCCAUGGCUGCCUAAUCAGUGAUUAGUUAGUCAUUCGGGCCGCGGAGCAGGUCGUCCUGUUACCACGCUCUGCCGCCGACUCAAAACAAACACAGGAUGCUGCGGUUGAAGGCUGUGACAACCGUAUAAGAUCCAUUCAGCUAAGCGAUAGAUUGGUUGGUCCGUUUCCUGUUUGUCGCCGACAAGUAAUAAUGGAAUAAGCAUGUAGAAAGCUUUUGACGAAUAUGUUUGGACGCGGGUUCGACUCCCGCCACCUCCACCA
rnacentral:tmRNA from 1 species